rnacentral:rRNA from 1 species
AACGAGCGCUGGCGGCAUGCCUAACACAUGCAAGUCGAACGAGACCUUCGGGUCUAGUGGCGCACGGGUGCGUAACGCGUGGGAACCUGCCCUUAGGUUCGGAAUAACUCCCCGAAAGGGGUGCUAAUACCGGAUAAUGUCUUCGGACCAAAGAUUUAUCGCCUUUGGAUGGGCCCGCGUUGGAUUAGCUAGUUGGUAGGGUAAAAGCCUACCAAGGCGACGAUCCAUAGCUGGUCUGAGAGGAUGAUCAGCCACACUGGGACUGAGACACGGCCCAGACUCUUACGGGAGGCAGCAGUGGGUAAUAUUGGACAAUGGGCGAAGGCCUGAUCCAGCAAGGCCGCGUGAGUGAUGAAGCCCUGAGGGUUGAAAAGCUCUUUUACCCGGGAUGAUAAUGACAGUACCGGAAGAAUAAGCUCCGGCUAACUCCGUG